ACUCACAAAAUAAGUUUUGUUGAGAUUAUUAUUUUUGUUUCCUUUCCUUCUAUUGCAAUGGUAUUUGAUUUUAUUGUUUAUUGAAUAGAAUACUAAUGAGAGAUUAUGGAAAAAAAACACUAUGAUGUACUUCAUCAAUUGGACACAGGGUGGCAGUAACCACGAACAGUGUUACACUGAGAUAAUUAGCGGUGCAGAGCAAAAUGAGCUCAUAAUCCGUGUUACUGGAGAAUGAGCAACAGUUGUCCUGCGUCACUGAUUUCUCAGGAAUAUUUCUGAUAUUUUCAGAUGCUGAACUGUUAUGUAACAGUCUUCGAUGAAAACCGAUUCCUGACCACAACCUGCUUAUGUUUACCUGGUCAACAUCCAUGAUGGUGUCUUCCAGAUUUGGGUCCUGAAACCUGUCUUCAAGGCCAUAUAUGGGGACCUGGUAAAAAGAAAGAAAAAAAACACCACUCAGUUCUGGAGUGAAAGAAUAAAAUUAUGCUUAUUCACUAAUAAAAUGUAAAGAAUUUUGACACAGGGAAUCUCAGGUAAAAAGUCAGAGUGCUGAACUGGGAAAAAACAUUCAUAGUGAAAACUGAUCCCAGAUCACAAUCUGAUUGUGGUUACCUCAACAUAAAUGAAGAUGUCUUGGUCCCCAAGGGCUCCCUGGGUAAAAAAACAACAACUGAGGUUUAAAAUAUAUUCAAAGAAAUUAUUAAAUGAUUAAAUUUAUACUUUUAAACACUCGUAAUUAUUACCGUUCAGAAACCAUUAUAAUUCCAUAAUAAAACCCUAAUAAUUAGCAGACAGGUUCCUAACCCUGGUCCUGGAUUAGCUAUUGUCCUGUACAUAGACAUUUCCCUGCUCUAACAUAUCUGAUUCAACGUAAAAAGGUGUGUAGGAGCAGGCAAAUCAAGUGCCUAAGACUAAGUUUGGGAGCCUGUGAAGCCUCUAUUGGUUAUAUGUGUAUUGAAAGAUAGAAAUAAACGUUUCUAUAAAUAAAUGGUACAGACUUUACUUCCAAACUCAGUUACUCUUUAGAAAGUUAAUGCAAUUCUACAGUUUUAAGCUUAAGAUUGGUAAACAUGUCUACUUUUAUAGCUUUUAUAAAACUGUAUUGUACUGCGAAUCUUAGACAAUGUACAGUAUACUGUAUACUGAAAAUGAUCUUGACAGAUUAAGCUAUGGGAUAUCAGAUUUAUAUUACUAAUACAUAAACUCUAUGAUACCAUUAUGGCCUAUUUUCAGGCUUAAUAAUCUUGGAGAUGAACACUAAACACCAAAGAUUAGCUGGCUGUAGGGCGUAGAGAUAAAAUCUUUAUUUGCAUUCGGACGAAUUUACAUGCAUAUUUACAUCUACCAUUCCAACAAGAGUCCAUUCUAUUUCUUUCUAGUAGACAAAAUUGACAGGAGUCUGAUGCUGUUGGUUUUUAUUUUACACACAAGGGAUUAUUGAACUUAUAUAUAUUUUCACCUACAGCACAGUAUCAAAAACUUACUACAAAUGGAUGUGUCCUGAGUUCCUUCAGCUGAAAGGAAGAGGACGCUCAGAGCUCAUAUCAGCUAAUUAGCUGAAACUACAUGAGUGAACAUUGUGGAUGACAGCAUUGUGGAUGACCCCAACACACCCCUCACACACCCUUCAGCCUCCUGCCAUGUGGAAAAAGGAACCGUAGCAUUCAGGCUCUCACAACCAGAUGAUGUGCGAUAGUUGCUUUCGUCAAGCCAUCAGACUCCUCAACAAAUAGAAAUGAACUAUACCACACACACACACACACACACACACACACACACACACACACACACACAGAGUCUGUAUCAGUUACAAUUGCUCUAGUUGUACUCACAAUGUACUUUAUAAUAUACAGUAUGCACCCUGAACUGGUCAGAGCUAUUCUGUCUUGCUCUGUUGCACUAGAUUGCACACAAUCUUCUUUAUGUGGCUGGGACUAAUGUCCUCUGUGUUGUUUAUGUAGCAUUAUACCAUUAUAUGUAGCACCAUGGUCCUGGAGAAACUUUGGCUCAUUUCACUAUUUGCUACAUCAGCUAAAUAUGGUUGAAAUGACAAUAAAAGCUUCUUGACUCUC